CUAGAAUGACAGGCCUCGAUCCUGUAAUAUUUUAGUUAACAGCUAAACACUCUAUCCAGCGAGCUUCAUUCUA
rnacentral:tRNA from 1 species